rnacentral:rRNA from 1 species
AAACGAUUUAAAGUGAAACCGCGAACGGCUCAUUACAACAGCAAUAAUUGACUUGACGAUAUAUUCCUUAAAUGGAUAACUGUGGUAAUUCUAGAGCUAAUACAUGAAUUUAAGCAGAGUGUCUUUGGCGCUCUGUUCAUUUAUUAGACCAAAACCAAGCGGCCUCGGUCGUUUAUUUCGGUGACUCGUAGUAAUUUCGUUGAUCACAUGAUCUUGUAUCGGUGACACGUCUAUCAAGUUUCUGCCCUAUCAACUUUUGAUGGUUCUUUAUUGGAGAACCAUGGUUAUAACGGGUAACGGAGAAUUAGGGUUCGACUCCGGAGAGGGAGCCUGAGAAACGGCUACCGCAUCCAAGGAAGGCAGCAGGCGCGAAAAUUACCCACUCUCAGUGCGAGGAGGUAGUGACGAAAAAUAACAAGGCUGAUCGCUUUGCGAGCAGCUAUUGGAAUGGGUACAAUUUAAACCCUUUAACGAGGACCUAUGAGAGGGCAAGUCUGGUGCCAGCAGCCGCGGUAAUUCCAGCUCUCAAAAUGUACUUAACCAUUGUUGCGGUUAAAAAGCUCGUAGUUGGAUCUGUGCCGGCGGACUCGGUCCACUCGCAAGGGUGCGCACUGGGCUCCCCGGCUUUCUGCCGGUUUUCCCGUCGUGGCCUUAAUUGGUUGCGGCGGGUGGCUGGCGAUUUUACUUUGAACAAAUCAGAGUGCUUAAAACAGGCGUUUCGCUUGAAUGUUCGUGCAUGGAAUAAUAGAAAAGGUCUUUGCAGCCUUUUAUUGGUUAUCGCUGUAAGGAAAUGAUCGACGGGGACAGACGGGGGCAUUCGUAUUGCGACGUUAGAGGUGAAAUUCUUGGAUCGUCGCAAGACGGACUACUGCGAAAGCAUUUGCCAAGAAUG